rnacentral:rRNA from 1 species
GACGAACGCUUGCGGCGUGCUUAACACAUGCAAGUCUAACGGUUAGGCCUCUUUUGCGGGGUACUCCGGUGGCUUACGGGUUCUUAACCCGUGAGUAGCCUGCCCUUGCCCUUCGGAUACCUUCACGAAACUUGGGCUAUUCCCCGCUAGGCGCUCCUGCUCCAUGGUGGGGGUUGGUCAUUUUCGCCGGUUGGGGAUGGCCUCGCGGCUUAUCAGCGUGUUGGUGGGGGAGUUGCUUACCAAGGCUCUGACGGGUAGCCGGCCGGAGAGGGUGACCGGCCAGAGUGAGAGUGAGAUACGGCCCAGACUCCUACGGGAGGCAGCAGUGGGGAAUAGGGAACAAUGGGUGGAAGAGUGACGCAGCAUCGCUGCGUGCGGGAUGAAGGACCGAGGGGUGGAAAACGCCUUCGUCCAAGACGAAGUGUGGUGUGACGGGAGUGGGUAAAGAAGCACAGGCAAACUACGUG